rnacentral:rRNA from 1 species
GUAGGUCCCGAGCGUUGUCCGGAUUUAUUGGGCGUAAAGCGAGCGCAGGCGGUUAGAUAAGUCUGAAGUUAAAGGCAGUGGCUCAACCAUUGUAGGCUUUGGAAACUGUUUAACUUGAGUGCAGAAGGGGAGAGUGGAAUUCCAUGUGUAGCGGUGAAAUGCGUAGAUAUAUGGAGGAACACCGGUGGCGAAAGCGGCUCUCUGGUCUGUAACUGACGCUGAGGCUCGAAAGCGUGGGGAGCGAACAGGAUUAGAUACCCUGGUAGUCCACGCCGUAAACGAUGAGUGCUAGGUGUUAGGUCCUUUCCGGGACUUAGUGCCGCAGCUAACGCAUUAAGCACUCCGCCUGGGGAGUACGACCGCAAGGUUG